AAAUGAAAGUAAAUAGUGGAAUAUUGAUUUAGGAAAAUUUUUUUUUCUAAAACAUCGAUUUCCCUAUAGGGAAGAUGAAAAAACUUGUUAGUAACGAUUAUAGCAUCAAGUUGUAAAUGUUGCUUGCAAUGUUUUUCCGCAUUCCCGGGGCGCUUAUAUCUUGCAUUGCAAUUUAUUGCGCACCUAGAGCGUACACGAUGAUACCCGAAAGAUGGUGAACUAUGCCUGGCCAGGACGAAGCCAGGGGAAACCCUGGUGGAGGUCCGCAGCGAUUCUGACGUGCAAAUCGAUCGUCGGAGCUGGGUAUAGGGGCGAAAGACCAAUCGAACCAUCUAGUAGCUGGUUCCCUCUGAAGUUUCCCUCAGGAUAGCUUGCGCUCGGUUGAGAAGAGUCUCAUCUGGUAGAGCGAAUGAUUAGAGGCAUUGGGGUCGAAACGACCUCAACCUAUUCUCAAACUCCAAAUAGAUGAGAUCCCCGGCUUUCUU
rnacentral:rRNA from 1 species